ACAUUUCUUUUAAAUUAACAUAUUUUUUCCCUUUUUCAUAGGUUUGGAAUGCAGUGUAAACUUUGCAAAUUUGCUCACAGUAGCAGAGAGGUCCUCCUAAACACUACAGGUUUCACCACUAUCAACGGCAUUCCUGGCAGCAGCCUUGCCUGUAUACUGACUGCAUCUGCACUUUCAAAACUAUAGGAAAGGGAUGCAUUACAGGAGGAAUUGAAGAAGAAACAUCUCAACAUGGCAUUUGUUGACUCGAAAAUGGAAUUGACAUUCUCAUUGAGAAGGAAGGAGAUAGUUGAAGAACCUCUUGUAGCUGAUGUACUAAGACAAUGGCCAGCAUUGUUUUUGGAACAUCAGAUAUGUGCUGAGUUUUACAGAAUCACACAAACAAACCUGAAGAGUAAAUUUUUCUCUUCUCUGGAUGAAUAUGCACUCUGGAUUAGGGCUGUCGCGGUUAGGAAAUUUCCCUUGCGGUUAUUAUGGGUGGCUCAAUAGCGCGAUACGCGGUGUUACCGCGCUUUUAUUUUAUUAAUUUUUUUGUUACAAACCUUAUUUAUCCUGAUUUUACUGCAUACAAAGCUCUAUUGUUGCGUUAUUAUGUAGCAUAUAUUGUUGCUUUUUAACUGACAGAGAGACACGUU